AACUCUACAAUGCAGGAGACUGCGAUAGGGGGACAUCGAGUGGCAUCCACCUUGGGUGCCUGUCCAACCGUACGGUUGUAGCAAGGGCCGGCAAGACCGGUGCCAGCCGCCGCGGUAACACCGGCGGCCCGAGUGGUGAUCGUGAUUAUUGGGUCUAAAGGGUCCGUAGCCGGUUUGGUCAGUCCUCCGGGAAAUCUGAUAGCUCAACUAUUAGGCUUCGGGGGAUACUGCCAGACUUGGAACCGGGAGAGGUAAGAGGUACUACAGGGGUAGGAGUGAAAUCUUGUAAUCCCUGUGGGACCACCUGUGGCAGGGGCGUCUUACCAGAACGGUUCGACGGUGAGGGACGAAAGCUGGGGGCACGAACCGGAUUAGAUACCCGGGUAGUCCCAGCCGUAAACGAUGCUCGCUAGGUGUCAGGUGGUGCCGCAGGGAAGCCGUGAAGCGAGCCACCUGGGAAGUACGGCCGCAAGGCUGAAACUU
rnacentral:rRNA from 1 species